rnacentral:rRNA from 1 species
AUGAGCCCAAUAUUAAGGAAAAUGAUAGUCACAGGUGUUUGUGGCCUCGUAAGCCUUGUACUGCGGCAGAAUUUGUAUCUUGAGCACCUCCGUGCUGACGAUUUAUAUAUCAAGCAGCGUGGUAAUGGUGAACCUACACUGAAAGUCUUGCUAUCCGGUGUCAGAAAAAAUUCGGGUACACCGAGAGUUGAAUCUAGCUGGCAACACGUCAAGGACCUCCUUGUGCACUGUUACAAUGUUUUGGGAUUAAAUCCAAGUGAGGGUACAAAGUCCUUGCAUAAGUUUAUCGGUAGUCAGACAGAGAGUGCGACUCUUGAAGGUUACCCUGAUUUCUGGAAUGAUGAUGAAAAGGAUAUGUACCUAAGGUUAAUAAUUCAAGCAGACAUAAGCAAGACUGAAACUUCACUUCAAAACUGA